rnacentral:sRNA from 1 species
ACACGAGAAAGGAGGUGGUCCGAAGUUGAUUAACUACAGGACUCGUGAGGUGGCUGUCCGCUAGCGGACCGAAGCUGCGAAAAAGCUCGUGACGGCGGGUGCCGUCACGAAGUGCCGCCCUCCGUCGACCGCCGCCCGGCGUCCGGAGGCGCGACAGGACAGUAGAGGCCUGCGAGCGAAUACCAGGCAGUCCCCGGACCCCCGGCGUCCCGAGCAAGUCCGGCUCGGGCCGGCAACGGCUGACGACGUUGCCGGAAAGCACGCCGGGGGUCUUCCUGU